CCUACGGGUGGCAGCAGUGGGGAAUAUUGCGCAAUGGGCGAAAGCCUGACGCAGCGACGCCGCGUGAGGGAUGAAGGUCUUCGGAUCGUUAACCUCUGUCAGCAGGGAAGAACGGUCACUGUGCUAAUCAGCAGUGAAUUGACGGUACCUGCAAAGGAAGCACCGGCUAACUCCGUGCCAGCAGCCGCGGGAAUACGGAGGGUGCGAGCGUUAAUCGGAAUUACUGGGCGUAAAGCGCUCGUAGGCGGUAUGUCAAGUCAAGGGUGAAAUCCCCGCGCUCAACGUGGGAACUGCCUUUGAAACUGGCAAACUGGAGUGUGUGAGAGGAUAGUGGAAGUCCAGGUGUAGGAGUGAAAUCCGUAGAUAUCUGGAGGAACAUCAGUGGCGAAGGCGACUAUCUGGCACAUAACUGACGCUGAGGAGCGAAAGCGUGGGUAGCAAACAGGAUUAGAUACCCUAGUAGUC
rnacentral:rRNA from 1 species